rnacentral:misc_RNA from 1 species
AAGUCGUAACAAGGUUUCCGUAGGUGAACCUGCGGAAGGAUCAUUAGUGAAUAUUAGCGCAUCUCUUCGGAGAGCGUGACCUCCACUUUCUAACUCUGUGCAUUUAUUGGCGGAAGAACUUGAGCAAUCGAGCGUCUUCUGCGGCUCAUUUUAUAACACUAGUUAAAAGUAUGUAACGAAAUAUCGAAACAAAAAAAA